rnacentral:lncRNA from 1 species
CACAACCAUUGAGAAGUUUUGUUGUCAGCAAAACUUCACAAGGGACUCAGGACUCAACCCUGGGGGUCUCCAGAACUGAGGUUGAGAUUGCCAAUCUGUGACGGAGGAAAAGUGACACAGUAACAUUAGUAUCUGUAAACUCUGUGCUCCUCAGAACAUCUCAGCUGAUCUCAGAUCUGUGUCUCCUGGAGAAAACAUCACCCUGCACUGCAGUGUUUCUGCAGAUUAUGAGAUUUCAUGGUUUC